CGUACAAGCAGUGGGAGCACCCUUCGGGGUGUGACUGCGUACCUUUUGUAUAAUGGGUCAGCGACUUAUAUUCUGUAGCAAGGUUAACCGUAUAGGGGAGCCGGAGGGAAACCGAGUCUUAACCGGGCGUUAAGUUGCAGGGUAUAGACCCGAAACCCGGUGAUCUAGCCAUGGGCAGGUUGAAGGUUGGGUAACACUAACUGGAGGACCGAACCGACUAAUGUUGAAAAAUUAGCGGAUGACCUGUGGCUGGGGGUGAAAGGCCAAUCAAACCGGGAGAUAGCUGGUUCUCCCCGAAAGCUAUUUAGGUAGCGCCUCGUGAAUUCAUCUCCGGGGGUAGAGCACUGUUUCGGCUAGGGGGCCAUCCCGGCUUACCAACCCGAUGCAAACUGCGAAUACCGGAGAAUGUUAUCACGGGAGACACACGGCGGGUGCUAACGUCCGUCGUGAAGAGGGAAACAACCCAGACCGCCAGCUAAGGUCCCAAAGUCAUGGUUAAGUGGGAAACGAUGUGGGAAGGCCCAGACAGCCAGGAUGUUGGCUUAGAAGCAGCCAUCAUUUAAAGAAAGCGUAAUAGCUCACUGGUCGAGUCGGCCUGCGCGGAAGAUGUAACGGGGCUAAACCAU
rnacentral:rRNA from 1 species